rnacentral:tRNA from 1 species
AUGAAUAUAUGAGUCUCUCUCUUAUUGAGCUAUUAAUAUUAAGCCGCUAACUUAAAAAAAGAUUUUUAUCUAUA